rnacentral:rRNA from 1 species
CCCUUAGAUGUUCUGGGCCGCACGCGCGCUACACUGACGAAUGCAACGAGCUUAUAACCUUUGCCGAAAGGUCUGGGUAAUCUCCAAAUUUCGUCGUGAUGGGGAUAGAUUAUUGCAAUUAUUAAUCUUCAACGAGGAAUGCCUAGUAAGCGCAAGUCAUCAGCUUGCGUUGAUUACGUCCCUGCCCUUUGUACACACCGCCCGUCGCUCCUACCGAUUGAAUGGUCCGGUGAAGCGUUCGGACCGUGGCCUUUGGACGGUUCGCCGUCUGUUGGCUGCGGGAAGUUCGUUAAACCUUAUCAUUUAGAGGAAGGAGAAGUCGUAACA